rnacentral:lncRNA from 1 species
CGUUGACGCGUUUGGAUUAUAGUUUCAACAAUCGAGAACUAUUGCCAGCUCCAUCUUGUCGCUACUCCAGUCCAAAUUCUACGCUCAUUCGUUCCAUUCCACUUCAAUCCUCCUUACCUUGAAUUUGGCACUCUGGGUUUGGUAUCUUCGGUCCCUUGGGACCACGUUGUGAGUAGGCCUUAUAUUUAUAAUUAUUUGACUGUGCAUCUAUAAUUAUUUUGACAUAUACCUAUUAUGAUCUUUGAAUUAUACUCAUUAUAUUUGUUUUGAACGAUUUUAAAUUGAUUAAAAUAAUUGAUUUAUUAAAAUUAAAUAAUUCAUUUUUAUGAAGUUUAUACUUUCAAAAUUAUACAUGAGACUAUAUAUAUUUUUGAUGAAGUUUUGCAUUAUCCCAAAAUGUUUGAUUUUACUUGAAUAUCUGUUUUUGAAGUAUUUGUUAGUACUCACUUACUUUAAAAAUUGUGAAAUAUAUUUGAAAUCUCUUAUGAUUGAGAAAGUAUGAUUGAAAAAGAUUUCUGAUGAGAAAGUUUUAUCUGAUUUGAUUUGAUUCGAUAUCUUAUAAAUUUGAAAGAUAAAAUAAUUGUUGUAUUUGAAAUUAUAUGUUUUGAAUUGGUUUGGGAGGCUCGUAUUAGAAAACUGUAGUUAACGGCGGUUAUGACGUUAACUUAGAUGCAUCUAACUCAGACUCUAGCUAGCAGGGGUGUUGCUAGCCUAACGUGUAGGCCACACGUUAGAUCUGUUAUUCUGUUAGGACACACAAGAGGAAAGGGCUACCCAUAGAGGUGGAGCCGCCCAAGUGUGGACUUUUGAUUUGAUUUCUAUAUGAGAACUCCCUUAUUGAUUCGCUUAUUAUAAUCAACUAUUAUUUCUAAUUAAAAUUACUUUGAUGAUAAUGUUUGUAUAGUUUCAUGUCAAUUAUAAAUGUAUUGUCUAGUCAUUGAGUUGCAAAACUCACCCUUUUUUUUUUCUAAAAAUAUUUUUCAGGAACAAAUAUUCGACUAUGUAAGACUUUUUAUUCAAGAAUAACGGUCUGCAAUGAGUACUUAUUCUUUGUCGAAUCCCUAGAAAUGUAUGCUACAUAUGUCACAGGCAGGAUCUAACCACUUAGUUAUUUUAAUUUUUUGUUAAAAAUAUAUAACUAUUUAUUUUAGAACUUGUAAAUAUUUGUAACUUGCUUAUUCAACUUAUAUUAGACUAUGUUAGACUUGCUAUAGGAUUAUUUUCCUGAGCGCCGGUCAUGACUCAUUUUAGGUCGUGACUCAUUUUAGGUCGUGACAUUUUCAGCAUCUAAAUUUCCCUUAAUAUUUAUUCUUACAAAUUUAGAAGUUUUUCUUCCAAAAAUCCUUAAUAAUGUGUAAUGUCUGCAAUACCAAUUGUUGGUGGUUGGAUCCUUUAGUUGCUUUUAUUAUUAACCAUUUUUGUUAUCAAUUUGCUAAAUUUCAGAACAAC